rnacentral:rRNA from 1 species
CCUACGGGGUGCAGCAGUGAGGACUAUUGGUCAAUGGACGAGAGUCUGAACCAGCCAAGUAGCGUGAAGGAUGACUGUCCUAUGGGUUGUAAACUUCUUUUAUAUGGGAAUAAAAUGUUCCACGUGUGGGAUUUUGUAUGUACCAUAUGAAUAAGGAUCGGCUAACUCCGUGCCAGCAGCCGCGGUAAUACGGAGGAGCCGAGCGUUAUCCGGAUUUAUUGGGUUUAAAGGGAGCGUAGGUGGAUUGUUAAGUCAGUUGUGAAAGUUUGCGGCUCAACCGUAAAAUUGCAGUUGAAACUGGCAGUCUUGAGUACAGUAGAGGUGGGCGGAAUUCGUGGUGUAGCGGUGAAAUGCUUAGAUAUCACGAAGAACUCCGAUUGCGAAGGCAGUUCACUGGACUGCAACUGACACUGAGGCUCGAAAGUGUGGGUAUCAAACAGGAUUAGAUACCCGAGUAGAC